rnacentral:tRNA from 1 species
GCGGGGGUGGCGGAAUGGCAGACGCGCUAGGUUCAGGACCUAGUGGUGGCAACACCUUGAGGGUUCAAGUCCCUCCCUCCGCA